rnacentral:rRNA from 1 species
UACGGAGGGUGCAAGCGUUGUCCGGAAUUAUUGGGCGUAAAGGGCUCGUAGGCGGUUUGUCGCGUCGGGAGUGAAAUCCACUGGCUUAACUGGUGGCUUGCUUUCGAUACGGGCAGACUGGAGGUAUGCAGGGGAGAACGGAAUUCCUGGUGUAGCGGUGAAAUGCGCAGAUAUCAGGAGGAACACCGAUGGCGAAGGCAGGUCUCUGGGCAUUAACUGACGCUGAGGAGCGAAAGCAUGGGGGAGCGAACAGG